GCCUGGAUAGCUCAGCUGGUUAGAGCGUGGUGCUGAUAACGCCAAGGUUGCAGGUUCGAUCCCCAUAUGGGAUG